AUUGAACGCUGGCGGCAGGCCUAACACAUGCAAGUCGGACGGUAGCACAGAGGAGCUUGCUCCUCGGGUGACGAGUGGCGGACGGGUGAGUAAUGUCUGGGGAUCUGCCCGAUAGAGGGGGAUAACCACUGGAAACGGUGGCUAAUACCGCAUAACGUCGCAAGACCAAAGAGGGGGACCGUCGGGCCGCUCACUAUCGGAUGAACCCAGAUGGGAUUAGCUAGUAGGCGGGGUAACGGCCCACAUAGGCGACGAUCCCUAGCUGGUCUGGGGGGAUGACCAGCCACACGGGACCUGCGACACGGCCCAGACUCCGACGGGAGGCAGCAGUGGGGAAUAUUGCACAAUGGGCGCACGACUGAUGCAGCCAUGCCGCGUGUAUGAAGAAGGCCUUCGGGUUGUAAAGUACUUUCGGCGGGGAGGAAGGCGAUGUGGUUAAUAACCGCAUUGAUUGACGUUACCCGCAGAAGAAGCACCGGCUAACUCCGUGCCAGCCGCCGCCGUAA
rnacentral:rRNA from 1 species